GACGGAGGGUGCAAGCGUUGUUCGGAAUCACUGGGCGUAAAGCGCGUGUAGGCGGUUUGAUAAGUCGAAUGUGAAAGCCCGAGGCUCAACCUCGGAAGUGCAUUCGAAACUGACAGGCUUGAGUACGGGAGAUGGAAGUGGAAUUCCUGGUGUAGAGGUGAAAUUCGUAGAUAUCAGGAGGAACACCGGUGGCGAAGGCGGCUUCCUGGCCCGAUACUGACGCUGAGACGCGGUAGCGUGGGGAGCAAUCAGG
rnacentral:rRNA from 1 species